GAUGAACGCUAUCGGCAGGCUUAACACAUGCAAGUCGAGGGGUAUAGUUCUUCGGAGCUAGAGACCGGCGCACGGGUGCGUAACGCGUAUGCAAUCUACCUUUUGCAGAGGGAUAUCCCAGAGAAAUUUGGAUUAAUACCUCAUGGUAUGUGAGAAUGGCAUCAUUUUCACAUUAAAGUCACAACGGCAAAAGAUGAGCAUGCGUCCCAUUAGCUAGUUGGUAAGGUAACGGCUUACCAAGGCAACGAUGGGUAGGGGUACUGAGAGGGAGAUCCCGCACACUGGUACUGAGACCCGGACCAGACUCCAACAGAGGGCAGAAGUGAGGAGUAUUGGAAAAUGGGCGAAAGCCUGAUCCAGCCAUGCCGCGUGCAGGAUGAAGGUACUAUGGAUUGUAAACUGCUUUUGUACAGGAAGAAACAAUGGUUCGUGAACCAGCUUGACGGUACUGUAAGAAUAAGGAUCGGCUAACUCCGUGCCAGCAGCCGCCGUAAUAC
rnacentral:rRNA from 1 species